rnacentral:lncRNA from 10 species
CAAAUUUUCAUAUCAAAUAAAACCUCUUUCCCCGGAGAGAAGUAACAAGAGAGGCAGAGGGAAAUGAUUCUAACAGAAGUUCUAGCCACAUGGAAGGAAGCAUUAGCAGUGAGGAAUAACUGUUCUCUCCCUAAACAUACCACCCAAGGGAAACUAACACUAAAUUAGCAUGAAGAGCAUACGCCUGUGAUCUCAGCUAUUCGGGAUGCAGAGGCAGGAGGAUCACAUGAGCUCAGAAGCUCAAGCCCAGCCUGGGCAACGUAGAAAGACACAGACUAAAAAAGAAAAAAAGGGAAGAAAAAAAAAGACGGAAAAAAAUUAGCAUGAACAAUUCAAGGGAGACAAGAGAACUGAGCCACCUUCCUAGCCAAGAAAAACCCCAGCUUGCAAUUUACUGAAUAGAAGUGUGCCACUUGACAGAGUAGUUUUAAUGACACUGAACCUUUUGUGAGUCUUGCACUUCUCUUGGCUGAAAUCUUCAAACUGGCUCAAAGAAGCUCCAGUCUCUUCAUUCUGUAAGUGUUGAUACCAUUUGCAUAACUACCUGUCCUUAUCCCCUACCAGGUGCCUCCUUU